AUUGAACGCUGGCGGCAUGCCUUACACAUGCAAGUCGAACGGCAGCACGGGAGCAAUCCUGGUGGCGAGUGGCGAACGGGUGAGUAAUAUAUCGGAACGUGCCCAGUCGUGGGGAUAACGUAGCGAAAGCUACGCUAAUACCGCAUACGAUCUAUGGAUGAAAGCGGGGGAUCGCAAGACCUCGCGCGAUUGGAGCGGCCGAUAUCAGAUUAGGUAGUUGGUGAGGUAAAGGCUCACCAAGCCGACGAUCUGUAGCUGGUCUGAGAGGACGACCAGCCACACUGGGACUGAGACACGGCCCAGACUCCUACGGGAGGCAGCAGUGGGGAAUUUUUGGACAAAUGGGCGGCAAAGCCUGAUCCAGCAAUGCCGCGUGAGUG
rnacentral:rRNA from 1 species